rnacentral:rRNA from 1 species
CUGUGAGCUCGAUGAGUAGGGCGGGACACGUGGUAUCCUGUCUGAAUAUGGGGGGACCAUCCUCCAAGGCUAAAUACUCCUGACUGACCGAUAGUGAACCAGUACCGUGAGGGAAAGGCGAAAAGAACCCCGGCGAGGGGAGUGAAAAAGAACCUGAAACCGUGUACGUACAAGCAGUGGGAGCACGCUUAGGCGUGUGACUGCGUACCUUUUGUAUAAUGGGUCAGCGACUUAUAUUCUGUAGCAAGGUUAACCGAAUAGGGGAGCCGAAGGGAAACCGAGUCUUAACUGGGCGUUAAGUUGCAGGGUAUAGACCCGAAACCCGGUGAUCUAGCCAUGGGCAGGUUGAAGGUUGGGUAACACUAACUGGAGGACCGAACCGACUAAUGUUGAAAAAUUAGCGGAUGACUUGUGGCUGGGGGUGAAAGGCCAAUCAAACCGGGAGAUAGCUGGUUCUCCCCGAAAGCUAUUUAGGUAGCGCCUCGUGAAUUCAUCUCCGGGGGUAGAGCACUGUUUCGGCAAGGGGGUCAUCCCGACUUACCAACCCGAUGCAAACUGCGAAUACCGGAGAAUGUUAUCACGGGAGACACACGGCGGGUGCUAACGUCCGUCGUGAAGAGGGAAACAACCCAGACCGCCAGCUAAGGUCCCAAAGUCAUGGUUAAGUGGGAAACGAUGUGGGAAGGCCCAGACAGCCAGGAUGUUGGCUUAGAAGCAGCCAUCAUUUAAAGAAAGCGUAAUAGCUCACUGGUCGAGUCGGCCUGCGCGGAAGAUGUAACGGGGCUAAACCAUGCACCGAAGCUGCGGCAGCGACGCUUAUGCGUUGUUGGGUAGGGGAGCGUUCUGUAAGCCUGCGAAGGUGUGCUGUGAGGCAUGCUGGAGGUAUCAGAAGUGCGAAUGCUGACAUAAGUAACGAUAAAGCGGGUGAAAAGCCCGCUCGCCGGAAGACCAAGGGUUCCUGUCCAACGUUAAUCGGGGCAGGGUGAGUCGACCCCUAAGGCGAGGCCGAAAGGCGUAGUCGAUGGGAAACAGGUUAAUAUUCCUGUACUUGGUGUUACUGCGAAGGGGGGACGGAGAAGGCUAUGUUGGCCGGGCGACGGUUGUCCCGGUUUAAGCGUGUAGGCUGGUUUUCCAGGCAAAUCCGGAAAAUCAAGGCUGAGGCGUGAUGACGAGGCACUACGGUGCUGAAGCAACAAAUGCCCUGCUUCCAGGAAAAGCCUCUAAGCAUCAGGUAACAUCAAAUCGUACCCCAAACCGACACAGGUGGUCAGGUAGAGAAUACCAAGGCGCUUGAGAGAACUCGGGUGAAGGAACUAGGCAAAAUGGUGCCGUAACUUCGGGAGAAGGCACGCUGAUAUGUAGGUGAAGUCCCUCGCGGAUGGAGCUGAAAUCAGUCGAAGAUACCAGCUGGCUGCAACUGUUUAUUAAAAACACAGCACUGUGCAAACACGAAAGUGGACGUAUACGGUGUGACGCCUGCCCGGUGCCGGAAGGUUAAUUGAUGGGGUCAGCGCAAGCGAAGCUCUUGAUCGAAGCCCCGGUAAACGGCGGCCGUAACUAUAACGGUCCUAAGGUAGCGAAAUUCCUUGUCGGGUAAGUUCCGACCUGCACGAAUGGCGUAAUGAUGGCCAGGCUGUCUCCACCCGAGACUCAGUGAAAUUGAACUCGCUGUGAAGAUGCAGUGUACCCGCGGCAAGACGGAAAGACCCCGUGAACCUUUACUAUAGCUUGACACUGAACAUUGAGCCUUGAUGUGUAGGAUAGGUGGGAGGCUU